rnacentral:lncRNA from 1 species
AUCACACGUUACAGUGGAGCUAAGACCGUCGGUUUGGUGUGCUUGCUGCUGCUGCUGCUGUUGCUGCUGGGAGUUUGGAUAAGAAGAUGGCGGAAAUUCGACCAUCAUCCUUCUCGUCGUUCUCCUACGAUUCAUUAAUCAAAAAUUGUCAUCGUUUUUAUACGAAUAAAUAAUUCCCAUAA